rnacentral:rRNA from 1 species
UGGGGAAUAUUGGGCAAUGGGCGAAAGCCUGACCCAGCCAUGCCGCGUGAGUGAUGAAGGCCUUCGGGUCGUAAAGCUCUGUGGGGAGGGAAGAAACCUUCUGCAGCUAAUAUCUGCAGGAUUUGACGGUACCUCCUUAGCAAGCACCGGCUAACUCCGUGCCAGCAGCCGCGGUAAUACGGAGGGUGCAAACGUUGCUCGGAAUCAUUGGGCGUAAAGCGCACGUAGGCGGCCGAUUAAGUCGGGUGUGAAAGCCCCGGGCUCAACCCGGGAAGUGCACUCGAAACUGAUCGGCUUGAAUAUGGAAGAGGGUCGCGGAAUUCCCGGUGUAGAGGUGAAAUUCGUAGAUAUCGGGAGGAACACCAGUGGCGAAGGCGGCGACCUGGGCCAAUAUUGACGCUGAGGUGCGAAAGCGUGGGGAGCAAACAGGAUUAGAUACCCGCGUAGUCC